rnacentral:rRNA from 1 species
UGACGGGUGAGUAACGCGUGGGAAUCUACCCAUCUCUACGGAACAACUCCGGGAAACUGGAGCUAAUACCGUAUACGUCCUUCGGGAGAAAGAUUUAUCGGAGAUGGAUGAGCCCGCGUUGGAUUAGCUAGUUGGUGGGGUAAUGGCCUACCAAGGCGACGAUCCAUAGCUGGUCUGAGAGGAUGAUCAGCCACACUGGGACUGAGACACGGCCCAGACUCCUACGGGAGGCAGCAGUGGGGAAUAUUGGACAAUGGGCGCAAGCCUGAUCCAGCCAUGCCGCGUGAGUGAUGAAGGCCCUAGGGUUGUAAAGCUCUUUCAACGGUGAAGAUAAUGACGGUAACCGUAUAAGAAGCCCCGGCUAACUCUGCCAGCACCGGGUAAUACGAAGGGGGCUAGCGUUGUUCGGAAUUACUGGGCGUAAAGCGCACGUAGGCGGAUACUUAAUCUGAAAUCCCGGGGUCAACCCCGGAACUGCCUUUGAUACUGGGUAUCUCAUCCGGAAAGGUUG